rnacentral:rRNA from 1 species
GACGAACGCUGGCGGCGUGCUUAACACAUGCAAGUCGAACGAAAAGACGGAAAGAGCUUGCUCUUUUCAGAAUUGAGUGGCAAACGGGUGAGUAACACGUAAACAACCUGCCUUCAGGAUGGGGACAACAGACGGAAACGACUGCUAAUACCGAAUAAGUUCCAAGGGCCGCAUGGCCCAUGGAAGAAAAGGUGGCCUCUACCUGUAAGCUAUCGCCUGAAGAGGGGUUUGCGUCUGAUUAGCUGGUUGGAGGGGUAACGGCCCACCAAGGCGACGAUCAGUAGCCGGUCUGAGAGGAUGAACGGCCACACUGGAACUGAGACACGGUCCAGACUCCUACGGGAGGCAGCAGUGGGGAAUCUUCCGCAAUGGGCGAAAGCCUGACGGAGCAACGCCGCGUGAGUGAUGACGGCCUUCGGGUUGUAAAACUCUGUGAUCCGGGACGAAAAGGCAGAGUGCGAAGAACAAACUGCAUUGACGGUACCGGAAAAGCAAGCCACGC